CGAAGAGUCGAACAUGUCUCAGCCUCCAUGUUGACCUUUUUGUCUUCAUGUGUCUGCCACAACUUCAUGUAGCCUGAAGGACAUGUUUUAAAAAGGUUUUUAGCCCUAUGGAGGAAUACAGUAUUUAUUUUGUGCUUGUUACUGUAUUGAACUGUAAACAGUGUAUGGCACAUGUGUCAAACUAAAGGCCCGCAGGCCACAUCCGGCCCGGCGUAUAAUUAUAUCCGGCCCGCGAGCUCAUUUCAUAUAGAUCUAUUAUUAUUGUUACUAAGGGCCCGCCAAUAUGAAGCGCUGAUAACACACAAACUACAGAUCCCAUAAUGCAGCGCAACGGCCGCCUUGCCUUACUAUUGGCUACCUGGGAACAUUCCCGCGUCAAUCGAGUCGAGCUCUGUUGCCGUAUACAGCCGAGGCUGUUGACUUGUUGUCCUAGCUUGCUCUUUUAGGAUUACUUUCAGCACAACAACAACGUCUCCCUCCUGUCGGAAAGCGGUCACGACACGCUCAUCGGGAAACCGCAAUGCAUUGUGGGCUUUUCGGGCAACUGAAAAGUGUGUUUACGCCGGCAGCUUGCGUGAUGCUGCUCUUGUGUUCUGUUGUUUUGUUUGAACAAGUUAAAACACGGUGCCGACGUGCUGUGUCGUUAACUGACGCAAUCGUCCACACGAUCGCUUCGGUAAAACAAACGAUCGGGUCAGUUUUUUUUCUCAUUUCCUACGUGCACGCAAACCCAAGGACGUCGGAUCCGUGAGCUAACGAGGGGACGCCGAAUGGCCUGGAGAGCAGCCGUGAGACGACCAGACAUGUUGGUGUGUUCACGGCAUUUCACACCGGUGUUGGUGGUGUUUUUCUGAAAACAAAAUGGAUGGCUGCUUAUUUGUGUUUAUCCUUAACAUGUCACUGAUACGUCAGGCACAGCAGCCAACGGUUUGUGUGCGAGCAGCGGAGCUCAGAGCGCUCGACAGAAAAACGUCAAACGAAAGAAAUGAAGCGACAUCAGACCUGCAGGUCGUACGUCAGCCACUAACGAGAAGAACCUCCUCCCCUCCUUUAGCUCAGGAUCCGCCGCCUGCCUUUUACCUUCUGCUCAACUUCGACACUCACAUUUUCAUCUUGUCUUCUGACAGCUGUAGAUGACUGCUGUGAGAGACAGCAGAGGCUGACAGGGAGAGGAAGGCUCCUGGUCGUCCUCCUCAUCUCCUCCUCUAUUGCUCCCUGCAUCAAAUCGGAGCCGUCAGUCAGCAACACACUCCAUCACACCAACGACAACCACAGAGGAAACACAGCGGCGGCGGAGGAGGCGAACAGCAGUAUCAGAGAAAGCAGGGGAAGGGGGGAAGAUCUGAUGGAAUCAGGUUUUCUAAGAUGAAUUGAUGUGUCCUUCAUGACAUUGGAGCUGAGCUGAGCUGGGAACAGCUGCAGGUGCUGCAGGUUUAACAACACAUUCACUUUCAGCUGACUUUCAGCUGCAGCUCCUAUCUGAGCUUUCAUUCUCAAUUAGCUUCUUGAUCAAUCAUUUUAAUACUUUUAUAAGAACGAGGUGCAUUACUUCAGUGUUAGCAGGAAGUGGAUGAAACAGAGAAAACGUCUCCAGGCAGACAGGCACAUCUUUGACAGACGUGUCUUUGUUGGACAGAUGUGGCCCUGAUUUAUAUUUUAUUUAUAAAGUGAAACCCACCAUGUAAGUCUGUCUCAAUCUGUGACUGAAUGUGCCUGACGUUGGACAUUUCACACACCAACUAAUUAACCGACUCAUCACUGAAUCGAUAAUACUAAUGAUGGAAAAGUGAAACAUUAAACCUGUGACUGAUAA